rfam:Arabidopsis thaliana chromosome 1, complete sequence.
GAAGAAGAGGAAGAGCUCCUUGAAGUUCAAUGGAGGGUUUAGCAGGGUGAAGUAAAGCUGCUAAGCUAUGGAUCCCAUAAGCCUUAUCAAAUUCAAUAUAAUUGAUGAUAAGGUUUUUUUUAUGGAUGCCAUAUCUCAGGAGCUUUCACUUACCCCUUUAAUGGCUUCACUCUUCUUUGGAUUGAAGGGAGCUCUUCAUCUCUCCAUC